rnacentral:rRNA from 1 species
AUGGCGGAAGCUCUAGCGCUUAGGUUUGGGCUAUCCCUGGCGCAAAGGGCGGGGUGUAAUCGACUUGUCAUCAAUUCUGAUAACUUAGAGGUCAUCGAGACUAUGAAUAAUGGGGGAUGGUCGGCGGGAGUGGCGGCGUUUAAUGAUUGUUAUUUUAUUGCUUGUGAUUUUUCUAUGUCCAAGUUUAAACAUUGUAAUAGAGAGGCAAAUAAAGUAGCUCAUGAACUUGCCAGGUUAGCUAGAUUUUCUGAUACUGUUGAUUGGUUUGAGGAGCCAUUAAAUGAAAUUGUACCCUUCCUCUUAAACGAUGUGUCCAUUAUUUCGAUUGAAUAA